GUCCGGCUUCGUCGGACUAGGUGAUCCACACCAGUGUUUCGGACAGCGGUUCGAUUCCGCUCAGCUCCACCA
rnacentral:tmRNA from 1 species